rnacentral:rRNA from 1 species
UCCGUAGGCGGGCUAAUAAGUCAGGGGUGAAAUCCAACAGCUUAACUGUUGAACUGCCUUUGAUACUGUUAGUCUUGAAUUAUAUGGAAGUAGAUAGAAUGUGUAGUGUAGCGGUGAAAUGCUUAGAGAUUACACAGAAUACCGAUUGCGAAGGCAGUCUACUACAUAUAUAUUGACGCUAAUGGACGAAAGCGUGGGGAGCGAACAGGAUUAGAUACCCUGGUAGUC